rnacentral:rRNA from 1 species
UACGUAGGGUGCGAGCGUUGUCCGGAAUUAUUGGGCGUAAAGAGCUCGUAGGCGGUGUGUCACGUCGGCCGUGAAAACCUGCAGCUUAACUGUGGGCGUGCGGUCGAUACGGGCAUCACUGGAGUUCGGCAGGGGAGACUGGAAUUCCUGGUGUAGCGGUGAAAUGCGCAGAUAUCAGGAGGAACACCGGUGGCGAAGGCGGGUCUCUGGGCCGAUACUGACGCUGAGGAGCGAAAGCGUGGGGAGCAAACAGGAUUAG